rnacentral:lncRNA from 1 species
GUGGUUGGAGGACUAGCAGCAGACGGCAGGCUGUGGCAGAUGAUGGGUGGCAACGUGCACAACCGACGAUAGGGAUUGACUGGCAAGAAAAUUAAUCAUGAAAAAUAGGAUCGAAAAAUAGGGGAUCCAUGACUUUUUUUUUGUUUUGGCUAUUGGUUGAUCAUCGAUAGCGAUAGUCUUACCACAAAGGCGCAUAGGGAGGCUGGAUAACUUGACUACCGAUCUGAUAUCAACGAACGAUGGUGUUGGUGGC